UAGUAAUUCCUGGAUUUCCUUUAAAGAUAUAAGAAAUACUGGGGAGGGGACAAGAUGGACAACUAGAAAUAGCUGCAAUCAGAGGCUUCCAACAAGAAGAACGAAAACGAAUGAAGCCCUUUCUUAAAAGCCUAGUUGACUAGGGAUAUCAAGUGGACACAGCUGACAGAACUUUGUACUAGAAAGGAGGGAGGAUACAGAAUGUCUCUUCAGGUACAGUACUAACUUAUUUCAAAUACCAUAGAUCUUGAAAUGAAUAAGCCACUUUGAAAAUUCUGUUACCAACGCUUAACACUCUGCAGCUUAAGGAAGAGAGAAAGUUUUAUAGCCCUGUUAUGCAUCAAAUACCGUUUUUCUACCAG
rnacentral:lncRNA from 1 species